AAUCAACGCUGGCGGCGUGCCUCAGACAUGCAAGUCGAACGAUUAAAGCUCUCUUCGGAGAGUGCAUAAAGUGGCGCACGGGUGAGUAACACGUAAGUAAUCUACCUUCGAGUGGGGAAUAACAUCGGGAAACCGAUGCUAAUACCGCAUAAUGCAGCGGCAUCGCAAGAUGACAGUUGUUAAAGAUUUAUCGCUUGAAGAGGAGCUUGCGGCAGAUUAGCUAGUUGGUAAGGUAAUGGCUUACCAAGGCUACGAUCUGUAACCGGUCUAAGAGGACGGUCGGCCACACUGACACUGAAUAACGGGUCAGACUCCUACGGGAGGCAGCAGUCGGGAAUUUUGGGCAAUGGGCGAAAGCCUGACCCAGCAACGCCGCGUGAAGGAUGAAGUAUUUCGGUAUGUAAACUUCGAAAGAAUAGGAANAAUAAAUGACGGUACUAUUUAUAAGGUCCGGCUAACUACGUGCCAGCAGCCGCCGUAAC
rnacentral:rRNA from 1 species